CGCCGUGGUCGCACACAACGUUUGAUAUGUUGACAAGGUACCACGCACUUCAGGCCUGAGAAGAGAGGGAGUGCCAUCUAGACACACUAGUCUACUAGCCAUUACUCACUAUUACUUUUUUUGGCAAUAGAUGAUGGUGAAAGCGAACGUGUUUUCUUUUCCUGUCGGUUGAUGUUCCUGUCGGUGCGCAUGAGUUCAAGGCACGUCCCGGGCAGAAGUCACAGCUGCUGCGGCUCAAGACCCCCCUGGCAAGCAGAGCAUCGCCCAGAUUGCAGAUUCCAGCCAGACACCGGUUGACCCCAAAUCCCCAGUGCCUGGGCCAUUGGCCUUUCCACGUGUGGCCAAUUUGAUGAGUGUGCGCCUUGCACAGAAACAUCCGGCCAGGAAAAGCAAAGUAGAAAGACUCGUUUUGCUGACGCUCUCCUGUGUAUGUAUUAAUAAGGUUCGGGCGUUUUAUUCUUUUUAACCGAACACAGUGGCUCCUUCUUUUUUAACAAGGCAUAUUGAAGAAUUCUUUAAAUUACAAAGUUCACUCUGAGAAAAAAUCCAGUAAAAAUGGCGUCAUUUCUUCCCACAACGAUAAUCGUCAUCUAUCUUGCGUUCCUUUCCUUGCAUUAAAGCUACGCGCCCUGCACCUACUGGUCACGAACGGCAGGCUGAUAGCGUGAAAUAGCAUUCUUGAUAGCAUGGUGACCAGCGGCAAUUUUUUAAUAAAGAAAACUAGAGCAAGCUGGUUGACUAU